GUUGUACUCCCUCCGUUCCAAAAUUCUUGUCUUAAAUUUAUUUAGAUAUGAAUGUAUCUAGUUAUAUUUUAAUAGUUUGAUACAUCUAUUUUUGGACAAUGCUAAGACACAAAAUUUGGGACGGAGGGAGUAUACA
rnacentral:pre_miRNA from 1 species